rnacentral:rRNA from 1 species
AAUGGUUUUUUGUUUAAAUGUUUUUCGCCUAAGGAUGGGUCUGCGGCCGAUUAGGUAGUUGGUUAGGUAAUGGCUUACCAAGCCGUUGAUCGGUACGGGUUGUGAGAGCAAGAGCCCGGAGAUGGAACCUGAGACAAGGUUCCAGGCCCUACGGGGUGCAGCAGGCGCGAAACCUCCGCAAUGUGAGAAAUCGCGACGGGGGGAUCCCAAGUGCCAUUCUUAACGGGAUGGCUUUUCAUUAGUGUAAAGAGCUUUUGGAAUAAGGGCUGGGCAAGACCGGUGCCAGCCGCCGCGGUAACACCGGCAGCUCUAGUGGUAGCAGUUUUAUUGGGCCUAAAGCGUCCGUAGCCGGUUUAAUAAGUCUCUGGUGAAAUCCUGUAGCUUAACUGUGGGAAUUGCUGGAGAUACUAUUAGACUUGAGACCGGGAGAGGUUAGAGGUACUCCCAGGGUAGAGGUGAAAUUCUGUAAUCCUGGGAGGACCGCCUGUUGCGAAGGCGUCUAACUGGAACGGUUCUGACGGUGAGGGACGAAAGUUAGGGGCGCGAACCGGAUUAGAUACCCGGGUAGUCCUAACCGUAAACGAUGCGGACUUGGUGUUGGGGCGGCUUUGAGCUGCUCCAGUGCCGAAGGGAAGCUGUUAAGUCCGCCGCCUGGGAAGUACGGUCGCAAGACUGAAGCUUAA